rnacentral:rRNA from 1 species
UACGAAGGGUGCAAGCGUUACUCGGAAUUACUGGGCGUAAAGCGUGCGUAGGUGGUUUGUUAAGUCUGUUGUGAAAGCCCCGGGCUCAACCUGGGAAUGGCAAUGGAUACUGGCAGGCUAGAGUGCGGUAGAGGGUAGUGGAAUUCCCGGUGUAGCGGUGAAAUGCGUAGAGAUCGGGAGGAACACCAGUGACGAAGGCGGCUACCUGGACCAGCACUGACACUGAGGCACGAAAGCGUGGGGAGCAAACAGG